UACGUAGGUGACAAGCGUUGUCCGGAUUUACUGGGCGUAAAGAGCGCGCAGGCGGUCGAUCAAGUCGAGUGUGAAAGCCCCCGGCUCAACUGGGGAGGGUCAUUCGAUACUGAUCGACUCGAAGGCAGGAGAGGGUAGUGGAAUUCCCGGUGUAGUGGUGAAAUGCGUAGAUAUCGGGAGGAACAUCAGUGGCGAAGGCGACUGCCUGGCCCAACACUGACGCUGAGGUGCGAAAGCGUGGGUAGCAAACAGG
rnacentral:rRNA from 1 species